rnacentral:rRNA from 1 species
GUGACAGCAGCCGCGGUAAGACAGAGGCCUCGAGCGUUAGGCGGAAUCACUGGGCUUAAAGCGCGUGUAGGCGGACCCGUAAGUGUCUUGUGAAAUCCCACGGCUCAACCGUGGAACGGCUGGCCAUACUGCGGGUCUUGGGCCGGUCAGGGGCUGCUGGAACAAGCGGUGGAGCGGUGAAAUGCGUAGAUAUCGCUUGGAACGCCGAAGGUGAAGACAGGCAGCUGGGACCGUGCCGACGCUGAGACGCGAAAGCAAGGGGAGCGAACGGGAUUAGAAACCCUGGUAGUCC